rnacentral:sRNA from 1 species
CUGGCAGCCCUGGAGACUAAAGGUCUGCAUUAGUAAAGAGGAGGUACAGCACAGGCAACCACAGAGGUGCAGGUUUCCCACACUGCCCCAGCCAAUGUCUCUCCACCCUGGCCUCGAGGGGCCACCUGUAGCUGGGAUAGAGGCUAAUUCUAUAAGCCAGUCUACCCAUUGCCUCU